rnacentral:rRNA from 1 species
AAUGAACGCUGGCGGCAGGCCUAACACAUGCAAGUCGAGCGAAGUCUUCGGACUUAGCGGCGGACGGGUGAGUAACGCGCGGGAACGUGCCCUUUGCUUCGGAAUAGCCCCGGGAAACUGGGAGUAAUACCGAAUGUGCCCUACGGGGGAAAGAUUUAUCGGCAAAGGAUCGGCCCGCGUUGGAUUAGGUAGUUGGUGGGGUAAUGGCCUACCAAGCCGACGAUCCAUAGCUGGUUUGAGAGGAUGAUCAGCCACACUGGGACUGAGACACGGCCCAGACUCCUACGGGAGGCAGCAGUGGGGAAUCUUAGACAAUGGGGGAAACCCUGAUCUAGCCAUGCCGCGUGAUCGAUGAAGGCCUUAGGGUUGUAAAGAUCUUUCAGGUGGGAAGAUAAUGACGGUACCACCAGAAGAAGCCCCGGCUAACUCCGUGCCAGCCGCCGCCGUAAGAC